GUGCUCGCGUCAACAGCACAUAUAUUAAAAAUUAACAACACAGAGAAGAUUAGCAUGUCCCCUGUGCAAGGAUGACACAAAAAUUCAAGAAGAAACUUACGAAUAA